rnacentral:rRNA from 1 species
AUUGAACGCUGGCGGCAGGCCUAACACAUGCAAGUCGAACGGUAACAGGAAGAAGCUUGCUUCUUUGCUGACGAGUGGCGGACGGGUGAAACAUGUCUGGGAAACUGCCUGAUGGAGGGGGAUAACUACUGGAAACGGUAGCUAAUACCGCAUAACGUCGCAAGCCCAAAGAGGGGGACCUUAGGGCCUCUUGCCAUCGGAUGUGCCCAGGUGGGAUUAGCUAGUAGGUGGGGUAACGGCUCACCUAGGCGACGAUCCCUAGCUGGUCUGAGAGGAUGAACAGCCACACUGGAACUGAGACACGGUCCAGACUCCUACGGGAGGCAGCAGUGGGGAAUAUUGCACAAUGGGCGCAAGCCUGAUGCAGCCAUGCCGCGUGUAUGAAGAAGGCCUUCGGGUUGUAAAGUACUUUCAGCGGGGAGGAAGGGAGUAAAGUUAAUACCUUUGCUCAUUGACGUUACCCGCAGAAGAAGCACCGGCUAACUCCGUG